GAAUACUGGAGUGGGUUGCCAUGCCUUUCUCCAAAGGAUCUUCCUGACCCAAGGAUGGAACCUGGGUCUCCUACAUUGCCAGGUCUCCUGUGUCAUUGAUGUGAUGUUUUGACAUAUGUAUCCAUUGGGAAAUGAUGACCAAAACCAAGAUCAUCAGCCUCUAAAUCAAAAGAAAUCCACAAAAGCUGAAAAUAAGAGGAUGAGCAAAAAAAAACAAAUCUAAACAGGCAAAUAUAAGCACAAGUAAAACAAGAAUUAACAUCUUGAUGUUAGACAAAAUUGAUAAAGUCAUUUUACAAUGACAAAAUUAGUCUAUAAUGAAAAUCAAAUAAUUAUAAAACUUUUUUAAACAGGUUCAGCCAAAAUUAUGAGUAAUUAUAACAUAAAAUGCUGAUCAUAGUAAACUCUGCUACUCCUUUCUGUAUUCAUUAAAAGCAUUGUUCAAAGAAAAAUUUAAAAACUCAUAAAUACACAUGUUAAUUCACCAGAAAGAAUGGAAAUCCAUUAAUUCUUGGACCAAAGGAGUUCAAAAAAGACUUUGGGAGUAUAAAAGAAAGGUUAAGAAGAGUAGAAGGAAAAUUAUUAAUAACAAAGACAACAAGAGAAAUCUAUUAAUAAUCAAGCAGAAAGAAUGGUGCAUGCAUGUCUGCUAAGUUGCUUCAUUCAUGUCUGACUGUUUGCGAUCUGAAGGGCUGUGUAUUCUGCUAGGCUCCUCUGUCCAUGGAAUUCUCCAGGCAAAAACACUUGAGUGGGUAGCAGUGCCCUCCUCCAAGGGAUCUUCCCAGGGAUUGAACCUGAGUCUCUUGUGUUUUCUGCAUUGGCAGGCAGGGUAAGCAGAAAGAAUGAUAAAACUACUGAAUAAAUCAAAGAUAUGGGUAUAUAGAGGAAGUAUAAUAAAACGAAUAAGGAUAUACCAAAAUUUCUCAGAAAAAGGGUGAGAGAGAUUAUAUGAUAAGUAAGAAAUAAGAAUGGGGGGGAAAUCACAUAUAGAUAGAAUACUAAAAUAUUUAAGAGAUUGCUUUGUUAUUUGCUGUGCAAAUAAAUAUGAAAAUAUACAUGAAGCAGACAAUUCUCCAGGAAAUUAUAGUUUCCUAAACUUAGACAACUGCCAGAGUUUCCUUCUCAAAACGAUGGGCAUGCUACUUAAACUGUUCUAUUUUAUGCUAUUUAAACUCUUCCCAUAAGAAGAAAACCUUUCCAACUGUUGUUUAAUGACAUGAACACAAAAGAGAUACCACAACUUGAGAAAGCUGGUCCCCCAAAGAAAGUUAUAGACACAUCUGAGUUACAAGCAGAAUUUAGCCACAAAUAUCAGCUAACUGAAACACAUUGAUUAACUGAAAGAAGUUACACUAUGACUGCAAGCAG
ensembl:lncRNA